GACGAACGCUGGCGGCGUGCUUAACACAUGCAAGUCGAGCGGUAAGGCCCUUUCGGGGGUACACGAGCGGCGAACGGGUGAGUAACACGUGGGUGACCUGCCCUCAGCUCUGGGAUAAGCCUGGGAAACCGGGUCUAAUACUGGAUAUGACUCCAUGGCGCAUGUUGUGGGGUGGAAAGCCUUGUGCGGCUGAGGAUGGGCCCGCGGCCUAUCAGCUUGUUGGUGGGGUGANGGCCUACCAAGGCGACGACGGGUAGCCGGCCUGAGAGGGCGACCGGCCACACUGGGACUGAGACACGGCCCAGACUCCUACGGGAGGCAGCAGUGGGGAAUCUUGCGCAAUGGGCGAAAGCCUGACGCAGCGACGCCGCGUGAGGGAUGACGGCC
rnacentral:rRNA from 1 species